UGCCGUUGUUGUUACGACGAAUGCAAUUGACAACCAACUAUUGGAUCAAUCUAAGGGGACAUGGAGAUAACCAUCCAAUGAAAAAGGUAUUACAGAAAUAUUGGGAGAAGGAGAGGAGAAAAAGUUUUGGAUAGACAGGCGAUUUAAUAGCAAAGGAAAUGGAAGUGUAUGAUAAAGAAUUUGUUGAGACCGUGGUGUAGCCUGAUAAACCAGUUUGGUUACUGGAAAACCUGAAGGUUGAUCUAGAGCUUUUAAAAAUUAAAGGAAGUAGAAGUAUACAAAGACAGCAUUCAAAUAUUUACAGAUAGGUCAAAGGAUCUUCGGUAUUCGUCCCUAGAUAUGAAAUGGGAGUCAACAAAAGAACAUCUGACAGCUUAAAUGUAUAUACAGUUGAAUUAUAUGCUAUAUUAAUAGCAUUAGAAUGGAUUGAACAGACCAGGGAUAACAAUAUUUUAAUUUGUAGCGACUCUGAGCCCUCAUGAGUAUUAAGUAUGGAAUAACUCAAAAUCAUCAAGAAUUAUUGUAUGAAAUUUUGUUUACAAACUCAAGAAUAUGCAGACUAGGGAGAAGUAUUACAUUCAUGUGGGUCCCAGUGCAUGUGGGAAUACAGGGAAAUGAGAAAGCUGAUAGACUGGCAAAAGAGGCAACAAAAAAGGGACAUGUUGACGUCAAAAUUAAGUUGUCAAAGUCAGAAAGGAAGAAUCUAGUAUGGAAAAAGUAAAUGGAACAAUGGCAACAUCAGUGGGAUCAUGAAAAGAAAGGGAGACAUCUGUACAGGGUUCAAAAUAAAGAGGACUGGACUGGAAGGACUAAUCUAAUUAACAUGGACUAAGUUAAAGAAAGACAGUAGGUGGCAGUAUUGCAACAAUUUGGAUGCCAACUGCCGUAAAACACCAAGGAAGAAGAAGAAGAAGGAGGACACUCGAGGCUGCCUGAGUUUUUCACAAAUAAAAUUUGGAUGACCCAGAGGAUGGAGUGGUGGUACCAGAGAUCCAUUGCCCCUUAUCAGACUAGAAUCUUGCUUUUCUGCAUGGAUUAAUGAAUCACCUUUGAAAGGCCUGGAGCUCCAGACAAUAUUAUACUGUGCUAUUCUGCAGAAUAUGUUCUACUAAAUUUGUUUUGUGUUCUAGAUUCAAACAAACACAAUUCACAAGCAGUUACACUUUAUUAGUCUAUAUCUGACUCCUUAUAUAUGCAAGUCUCUGACUUGCAUCCCGACAAAUAAAUGUUAAUGCCUGAUAUUGCACUCAGUACCACAUACUAUAGAAUGCAUACUUGGAAAGGAAACUGCUUAUGUUACAGAUACAUCACUAGGAAGGACCCUUGCAUCAGGCACAUUCCAUUUCAAAUUCAGGCUACAGUUUGGCAUUUCUUAUAUUAACAUCCUUUAUGCUUAUAAAAAUACUUGAGACCACUUGAAGAUAUAGAAAAAUCAUUGUAGUCUAUUUGUUGGCUUAAAAUACAAGUAAAUAUCUGUUCAUCUGUCAGUUGCUUUAAGAGAAAGAAUAUGGAACUUAUUCUCUAGACAAGACGUGAGUUUUCUGGAUGAUAAAUUAUGAUUGUCAAUUGAUGACUGAAAAUGAACAUGAAUGAUAUUUCUCUAGCUUGAUUUUGCACUUUUUUUUAGCCAUUUGAUUUCAGUUGUAAAACAGUGGUCUGUUACUGAUGCUGGAGGUUAAGACAUUUCAAAUGAUACAUGGUUUGUCCCGAUUAAUCAAAUUGUACUUGACAGUGAAAUGUACAGUAUAGGAACACUGAAUAAAUGAAAAGAAACAAGCCUGUGUUGGUGUCCUCAUGAAUGUAAAUGUUAAAUGGUGUAAUGCAUUAAAAAGCAAUGUGUAUAUUAUGUACUGUAUAUUGUGUUUUGUUGUCUGUAUAUUGUGUACAAUGUGUAUUAUGUAAUACGGUAUGUGUGCAUAUUGUUCAGUGAGUGUUGUGUUUUCUGUAUAUCUUGUAUAUUAUGUUGUAACUAUGAGAUGCAAUGUUGGUGGAACUGAACCAA